UGUUGUGUCAUUCACAGCAGAAUUUCAUCUCCUACUUUUCAGAAACAAGCAGAAGGUCAGAGCGAUUGUUCUGCACCUGCUGCUGCUCAAGUGCCUUUGACUUAAAUGGCCAGUGUGCCAGAACACCGGGGCAGGGAUGUCAGACCAACGAUGCAUGGGCUGUUAUGAUGGUGGAUUCAGAUCACACAGUCCAGAAGGCACAGAGCUUUUGAGUGUUUGCAGUCUGCACACACCUCCACCUGUUUUGUUGUCUGGCUGGUGUGGGCCUCACAGCUGAGCAACUCGCUCCUGACCUGGAAAGAGUAUGAACAAUCAGUUCUUCUGUGAAGGGUUGUAGAAGCUUCCAGAAAACACAUUAGGGCCUGGGGAUUUCAGAGUUAAAACUUAAAAAAAAAUGGUUUCUUUUAUUAUUUUUA